AGCAGCCGCCGCGGUAAUACGGAGGGGGCUAGCGUUGUUCGGAAUUACUGGGCGUAAAGCGCACGUAGGCGGCUUGGUAAGUUAGAGGUGAAAGCCCGGAGCUCAACUCCGGAAUUGCCUUUAAGACUGCCGAGGUAGUAGGUGAGAGAGGUAAGUGGAAUUCCGAGUGUAGAGGUGAAAUUCGUAGAUAUUCGGAAGAACACCAGUGGCGAAGGCGGCUUACUGGCUCAUUCUAGACGCUGAGGUGCGAAAGCGUGGGGAGCAAACAGGAUUAGAUACCCGUGUAGUCCCUGUCUCUUAUAC
rnacentral:rRNA from 1 species